UAGGGAAUCUUCGGCAAUGGGGGGAACCCUGACCGAGCAACGCCGCGUGAGUGAAGAAGGUUUUCGGAUCGUAAAGCUCUGUUGUUAAGGAAGAACGAGUGUGAGAAUGUAAAGUUCAUGCUGUGACGGUACUUAACCAGAAAGGGACGGCUAACUACGUGCCAGCAGCCGCGGUAAUACGUAGGUCCCGAGCGUUGUCCGGAUUUAUUGGGCGUAAAGCGAGCGCAGGCGGUUAGAAAAGUCUGAAGUGAAAGGCAGUGGCUCAACCCUUGUAGGCUUUGGAAACUGUUUAACUUGAGUGCAGAAGGGGAGAGUGGAAUUCCAUGUGUAGCGGUGAAAUGCGUAGAUAUAUGGAGGAACACCGGUGGCGAAAGCGGCUCUCUGGUCUGUAACUGACGCUGAGGCUCGAAAGCGUGGGGAGCGAACAGG
rnacentral:rRNA from 1 species